rnacentral:tRNA from 1 species
GCCAGCAUGACAUAGUGGUAUGAGUGUUUGACUAUGACUCUGGAGACCAGGGUUCGAUUCCUAGCUUGGCC